AUUAAAAUUAUGAAUAUAGUGUACAAAGAACUUUUCAAAUUUAUGAAAAUGUUUAAACCCGCAUCGCGGGCACAACACCUAGUAAUAAAUAAUUACAAAAACUAAUCCCCUAUUAAUCUCCGUAUAAUUCCCGAUUUAUUGAUUAGGCGCUAAACCCACACCGAGCGCCCGAUUAGCGUCUAGCGAGUUCUUAAACAAGGGUUUUUUCUAACUUUUUGGGCUACUAGUUUACUCUUACUAACUGGCCCAUCUUCUUUCUAGCUCCUGCGAUCAGGAUUUGGCUCCUCCCCCUAGCUCUUCGUCUCUUUGAAACUUAGAGGAGAGCCAUGUAAGUUCUACCGUCGUCCGUUUUCUCAUCAUUUAUUGCUUUCCCACUAUUCAUCCCACUCUCUCUCUGAAUUAAACAUCAUCAAAGGUAGCCGCUUGAGACUUUUCACUAUAAAACGGUCCGUUCUCUGCGAUGAAUAACCACAGUUAUACGGGAUCCCUAAUAUGCUUUUCCUGAAUGAGAAGGUAACUCCGGCUAGCUCUGUCUUUGUUUUUUAUAGAUUCUUACAAUAGAUUACGAGUCCUCUCUUGGAAUUCGAUUACGUUUUCUCCCCACGAAGACCAGGUCUUUGGUUUUAUCUUCUAUCUAACUCAUAUGGAGUUUGCGUCUCCGACGACGUAACACUUUUACUUUUCCGCCAUGGACCACCAUAUGUGCACCUUCGACGACGUUAUAAUUAUAUUUCAGUUAAGUGAUUGCUCUUAAUGACUUCAUUCAAUCCAAGCAGCUCACUAUUUCUCACCCAUUCAUCUUCUCUGCCUUCAUUAGAAAAUUUAUUCAGUAUAUGUAUUCACCCGUAGGGCUUCUUAGCCACAGCUCAUCAUUUUGCAGUCUAUCUUUCUAACCAUUAAAUCAUUAGUUCUAGAUUUUUUUUUUUUUGGAUUUCAGUCCUAGGUUCUCAUGUCCUGCAAAUUCCAAUUGUUUGUUAUAUUCCUGUGAAAAAAUUAGACUGUUGAUUGUUUUGAACAAAAGCUUCGCAAAUAAAGUUUCAAUCUUUAUCCUUUUUCUCUCCUUAAUACUAUCGAUAUGGAUUUUUCUCCAAAUUGGUAAAAUGAUGCUAAGUGGUCACGGUAGCGGUUGAUGCAUCUUUUUCUGUUUUAUUAACACUUUGUUUAGACUUCAUAAUGAUUUGUUUUGGGACUUGAGGAAAGAAUCGUUCACAUGUGCCGAUGUGCGUGACUGCCCAAAAUUAUGUUAUGUAUCUAAGCAUACAUAGAAUAUUUUCCCCUCAAAGCUUGGUUUGUUUCCGUCACAUCACAAACUUCCUGUCCCAUUUCUUCGUUGAACAACUCUUCUAUCUAAGUCAUAUGGAUCUCACGUCUCUAUCUACUUUGAGAGUCAUAGAUUGAUAUAUAUUAGAUUCACUUUGUAUCCCAUCCUCUAGAAUGAAGUUACCUUAUACAGUGAUACUUGUCUUCUCUUCAUUUUUGGUCUCAGUUUCUUUUUAUGUGAAUCGACUUGAUAUAUUUUCCUUUACACAUGUAGAUUGGUUUUCUGAUAGGUGCUUGAAGAUAUAGCUCUGGUGUAUUGAAUUCUCUUUAUGCAAGAUUUACUCUCUUAAAAGGAUAGCAGACAAAGGUCAUGCUGUUGGAAACUCGGUAUAGAGUUGCAAAGAUGAGUCUAAGCCUCAAAACUGUUCUGAAUAGAAGUGGGAAGAUGCAGAGCCAAGGUCCCAGAAAAUAGGAAGAAGAUAACAAUGUCUGUGAGCUGUUCUAGGAUACAAGAACCAGUGAGGACUUGGCAAAAUAAAAUGAUGGAAACCAUUCUUGUGGAGUUCUGAUUGAGACUGGAAAGAAGCUACGAUUUUAUAACAUCAAAGCUAAUAGUUGUUCUCCUGAGAUAGUUUUCUGGCGUUUUAUAUGGACAAGCAUUUUAUAAGGAGAACACUUAUCAUGUUGUGAAAGGACAUGUGUCGAUGCAGGUGUGACAGUCCGAGAGAAGUUCAAUAUUCGUUGAGAAAGAUUGUGUGUAUUGUGCCUUUUCUGGGAUUUAUAAUAUAAAGCUAACAUAUUCUUUGA